CUGACUUACAGCUUCUAUGUGAUUUGCUAUUAGCUCUCAGAAUUUCUUAAACUUUGCUUCAUUUAAGUUUGCUAUCCUUAAUUGGCUGGACAGUUCUGCUCAUCUGUCAUUUUGUAUAUGCUUCCACCCAACCUCGAUUUCACAAGCAAGGUUUGUGCUACUUCUAUGUGGAGAAAUGCAAACAGAAAGUGAGAGAUGGAUCCUGAAAACAUGAACACAACAGGAGUACCAACAGCCAAACCUUGCAAUUCCUCUGCAUGCUUGAUGGGCAUAGAUUGGGAAAAUCUUUCUACAUGCAAAAUGGUUUAGCUACAGGCCCCAGCAAAUGCAGAAGAGACGGGAAGAGGCUUGGACAGGUUGCAGUGUGUGCAUGGCUACCUGGAAUGUGACUGGUCUUUCAUGGCACUGUUGCUACUGCUGAAAAGCAGCACCCACCACCUCACUGUGCUCACAUCCACUAUUUGUUCUACUUAAACAUUCAACAAGAACCAGUAAAUGUCAGUGGGUACUAUUUUUUUUCCUCAAGGAAGAAAUCAACAACACCCCUAUGCUUCAAAUGCACUGCCACGUCUGAUGCUAUUUGGUUGGGCUGCCUUUCUGCUGCCAUGUGUCACAUGGCAACAAAAUGUAACAAAAUAAAAUAGAACAGAAGAAAAUGAUGGGAAGGUUCAACCUCUGUUCUAUCACCAACACCUACCUAUGACAUGGUGAGCCAACAUCAUAGAAUAAGAGCCAUUACUUUCAGAGAAGCCCUUUUAUAUUGUAAAUGUGUCUAUGAGAAGUAUUUUAGUGCAUUCUAAGAAAGAUACAAUAAAACUGAAAGUUA